ACAAGCUUUAUGUUGGAGGGCAGGGGAUCCUAAAGACGGUUCAAGUCACAGAUAAUUUUGCUUGUGUUUUCGAGUGUGUCCGUUUCGGUGAAACCUGCCAAACUGUCAACUAUAAUAAAAAAAGUCAUGGAGAUGGGCUGCACAUUUGUGAGUUGCUGAAUGGGGUUGCACAGGCGAGCCUUAACAGGCUUGUUAAGGAGUUGGAUUUCGAUGUUUACACGAAAGAGAAUUGUAAUCACAAGCCCUGUUUAAAUGGUGGAACCUGCCAAAAGACAAAUUAAGACGCUUUCCGAUGCACUUGUCCCCCAGAGUUUAUUGGAAAACACUGUGAGAGAGGUUGUGCCGUCGCUUUAGGGAUGGAGAGUGG